GCUUUAUUAGUAUAAUCAAGUACGAUUAACUUCCAAUUAAUUAGUUUAAAUUUAAAUAAAGUA
rnacentral:tRNA from 1 species